UUGUUACGGGGUGAUGGUGUUCCACCUCAACCAACCGCCAGUCCGUUUCAUGGAAUGGCUGAUGACGCCUGACAUAAU
rnacentral:ncRNA from 2 species